rnacentral:rRNA from 1 species
UACGUAUGGUGCAAGCGUUAUCCGGAUUUACUGGGUGUAAAGGGUGCGUAGGUGGUAUGGCAAGUCAGAAGUGAAAACACGGGGCUCAACCCCGUGACUGCUUUUGAAACUGUCAGACUAGAGUACAGGAGAGGAAAGCGGAAUUCCUAGUGUAGCGGUGAAAUGCGUAGAUAUUAGGAGGAACACCAGUGGCGAAGGCGGCUUUCUGGACUGAAACUGACACUGAGGCACGAAAGCGUGGGGAGCAAACAGG